rnacentral:rRNA from 1 species
AGCAGCCCGCGGUAAUUCCAGCUCCAAUAGCGUAUAUUAAAGUUGUUGCAGUUAAAAAGCUCGUAGUUGAAUUUCGGGAUUAGUACGUUUGGUCGUGCCUUAGGUACGUACUGGUGUUACUGGUUCCUACCUUCUGACGAACCAUCAUGUCAUUAAUUUGGUGUGGCGGGGAAUCAGGACUGUUACUUUGAAAAAAUUAGAGUGUUUAAAGCAGGCUCGCGCUUGAAUACAUUAGCAUGGAAUAAUGAAAUAGGACGUUGACCCUAUUUUGUUGGUUUCUAGGAUUGACGUAAUGAUUAAUAGGGAUAGUUGGGGGCAUUAGUAUUCAAUUGUCAGAGGUGAAAUUCUUGGAUUUAUUGAAGACUAACUACUGCGAAAGCAUUUGCCAAGGAUGUUUUCAUUAAUCAAGAACGAAAGUUAGGGGAUCGAAGACGAUCAGAUACCGUCGUAGUCUUAACCAUAAACUAUGCCGACUAGGGAUCGGAUGAUGUUAUUUUUAAUGACUCAUUCGGCGCCUUACG